UACGGAGGGUACGAGCGUUGUCCGGAAUCAUUGGGCGUAAAGGGCGCGUAGGUGGCGGGACAAGCGUGCGGUGAAAGCCUGGGGCUCAACCCCGGGUCGGCCGUGCGAACUGUUUUGCUUGAGCACUGUAGAGGCAGGCGGAAUUCCGGGUGUAGCGGUGGAAUGCGUAGAGAUCCGGAAGAACACCGGUGGCGAAGGCGGGUCUCUGGGCCGAUACUGACGCUGAGGAGCGAAAGCGUGGGGAGCGAACAGG
rnacentral:rRNA from 1 species